ensembl:lncRNA
GACUCAAAGAAACAGGCAGACAGUGACGGACGGUCAAAUAUCUUCUUAGCUUAAGAUGUCGACACAAACUCAAGGUGUCCAUGACUCCAGGGUGAAAUACAGCAGAGGGACCCAUGAGGAUGGAAGAGGAAGAGAGCAAAUCGAGGUGGAGAUGUUAGACGAUGGAGAGCAGAACCCUGCUGGUGGAUUACAAGAAGCUGAUGAACACACCCAGAGAAAGCUUCCAGCUGUGGACAGAAGCUGUUUCAGAGCGUUUGAAGUGACCCUGGGAGUGCUGUACUUGCUGACUCUGGCUGGAGUCAGGGAGUCAAGUACUUCUGAUAUGAGGCUCUAUUUUUCUGCUGGAGUAGCGUUCAGGUAGCUGCUCUGCUCUAUGUUGGUACAGGGCAUUGAAGAUGACAACAGUGGGUGGAUUAUAUUCUUAAACUUAGUUACAGCGCUUUCAGAAAGACAUCUACUGUGAUAAAGUCUACUCCCCACUGCUGUGUAAUCAAUUAUUGUAAAUGUAAAUGUUACCAGGAAAUGAUCAGACAGGAGAGGGUUUUCAGGAAACACUGUUAAAUGUUCUACAAAAGUUGAUUCUGUUCAUCUGGACGUAGUGUUUUGUGGGAGAAACGUUUCGUCAGUCAUCCAAGUGACUUCUUCGGUCUCAUCUGCAGUUUUCCCCAAUCUUAUAAACAGUAGACCUCCCAGCCCAUUGUUCCUUCAGUGGGCUGGUUUCAGUCAUUAUGUAAAUGUACUGUUUAUAAAAUUUGGGAAACCUGCAGUCAGCUGAGACCGAAGAAGCCAUUGGAUGAGUGACGAAACGUUUCUCCCACAAAACGCUACGUCCAGAUGAACAGAAUCAACUUUUGGAGAGUUACUUACCUGGAUGAUUGAGAAUGCAUCAAGACUGUUAAAUGUUCAGUUUCUAUGCCAUAUGUUAAAGCAAGAUCUAGAGUGUGAUUAAAGUGGUGGGUGGGUUCUUUUACAUUUUGAGAGAAGCCAAUUGAGUCUAAUAACAAAUUAAAUGUGAUGUUGAGGCUGUCAUUUUUAGCAUCUACAUGGAUGUUAAAAUCACCCACAAUAAUUAUUUUAUCUGAGCUGAGCACUAAAUCAGAUAAAAAGUCUGAGAAAUCAGAGAGAAUCUCUGUGUAAGGCCCAGGUGGACGAUAGAUGAUAACAAGUAAGACUGGUUUCUGAGUUUUACAGCUGGGGUGGACGAGGCUAAGCAUCAGGCUUUCAAAUGAAUUAAAAGUCUGUCUGGGUCUUUGGUUGAUUAAUAGGCUGGUGUGAAAAAUUGCUGCCACACCGCCCCCUCGGCCUGUGCUUCGAGGUUUCUGGUAGUUAGAAUGACUCGGGGGUGUUGAUUCAUUUAAACUAACAUACUCAUCCUGCUGCAACCAGGUUUCUGUAAGGCAGACUAAAUCGAUUUGUUGAUCAUUUAUUAAGUCAUGUACUAACAGAGACUUGGAGGAGAGAGACCUAAUAUUUAAUAAUCCACAUUUCACUGUUUUACUCUUUGGUUCAGAUGUGGAUACUGUGUUGUUCUUUCUUUGUGAUUUUUUAUGUUUAACUCUUUUUUUGAUGGUUUUUAGUUUGUUUUUUGUCUGUUUGGGAGCUGACACAUUGUCUAAGGUGAUGGUUCCAUAUUUCUAGAAAUGAGAGCUGCUCAAUCCAAAGUGGGAUGGAUGCCGUCUCUCCUAACAAGACCAGGUUUCCUCCAGAAGGUUUGCCAAUUAUCUAUGAAGCCCACAUUGUUUUUUGGACACCACUCAGACAGCCAGCAAUUGAAGGAGAACAUGCAGCUAAACAUGUCACUCCUGGUCUGAUUGAGAGCAGUGAUCUGGAACAACUUUACAACUCACAGCAACAACAGGUGAAGCAAAGCAGGAAGUCACUGAGAGGGGACGUAUGGAGGACCUGAAGAACCAAACAAACCGAAAACACGGCUGUCAUGGCCCUGGACUUUGUGGGUGAUCACAAAGAACAGGGCCUGCACCUCCUGCUGACAACAGGAGGUGUAUCACUCCUGUUUCCCACCUGGAGACAGCGUUUACACUGUACUCUGCCCUCGCACUUAACUAGGCAGGUAGAUAACCAUCACUUACAGAGUGUAAGUUGAGGCAGCCACAGGAGUCAAUAACUGUCCUUCCCCCGUUAGACAGGAAGCAGCGAGAGGUACCACUUCCAGUAGGAUGUCAGAAUAAAAUGGACAGUGUUAAAAUAUCUUAGAAACACAUGAGGAUUGUAUGAACCUAUAUAACACCACAUAAUAUAUGGGGCGACUCUUAAAGAGCCAAAACACACCUUGGUCUGCCUUUGGUGGCUUUUUGGCACCUGUGACACUCACUGCUGCCCUCACUGAAGCACAAAACAAAAUAACGACUAGACAACACACUAACUACACACUAAACAUCACAAAUCUCUCACAUCUCAAAACUCGCUGUCAAUAUCUCUCUCUCUCUCUCUCUCUCCAUUUUAUCUCGGCU